AUUGAACGCUGGCGGCAUGCCUUACACAUGCAAGUCGAACGGUAACAGGUCUUCGGAUGCUGACGAGUGGCGAACGGGUGAGUAAUACAUCGGAACGUGCCUAGUAGUGGGGGAUAACUACUCGAAAGAGUGGCUAAUACCGCAUGAGAUCUACGGAUGAAAGCAGGGGAUCGCAAGACCUUGUGCUACUAGAGCGGCCGAUGGCAGAUUAGGUAGUUGGUGGGAUAAAAGCUUACCAAGCCGACGAUCUGUAGCUGGUCUGAGAGGACGAUCAGCCACACUGGGACUGAGACACGGCCCAGACUCCUACGGGAGGCAGCAGUGGGGAAUUUUGGACAAUGGGCGCAAGCCUGAUCCAGCAAUGCCGCGUGCAGGAUGAAGGCCUUCGGGUUGUAAACUGCUUUUGUCAGGGAAGAAAUCCUCUAGGUUAAUACCCUUGGGGGGAUGACGGUUCCUGAAGAAUAAGCACCGGCUAACUACGUGCCAGCCGCCGCCGUAACAC
rnacentral:rRNA from 1 species